AGUUAAAAUUUUUAUCCAUUUUUAUUGUUAAAAACUGGUGUGGCUGUAAAUAACCUAAUAGUUACACAUAGUGUGGUACAUGUAUCUCAUGUUGACGUACAUAGAUAAGUUUUUAACAGUAGAAAUGGAUGAAAAUUUUAACA
rfam:Gossypium arboreum cultivar AKA8401 contig_19511_1, whole genome shotgun sequence.